UACGUAGGGUGCAGGCGUAAUCGGAAUUACUGGGCGUAAAGCGUGCGCAGGCGGUUUUGUAAGUCUGUCGUGAAAUCCCCGGGCUCAACCUGGGAAUUGCGAUGGAGACUGCAAGGCUAGAAUCUGGCAGAGGGGGGUAGAAUUCCACGUGUAGCAGUGAAAUGCGUAGAGAUGUGGAGGAACACCGAUGGCGAAGGCAGCCCCCUGGGUCAAGAUUGACGCUCAUGCACGAAAGGCGUGGGGACAAACAGG
rnacentral:rRNA from 1 species